AAUUGGAGGGCAAGUCUGGUGCCAGCAGCCGCGGUAAUUCCAGCUCCAAUAGCGUAUAUUAAAGUUGUUGCAGUUAAAAAGCUCGUAGUUGAAUUUCGGGAUCAAUAUUUCGGUCAUGCCGUUGGUAUGCACUGUUAUCAUUGAUUUCUCACCUUCUAAAGAACCGUAAUGCCAUUAAUUUGGUGUUACGGGGAAUUAGGACUGUUACCUUGAAAAAAUUAGAGUGUUUAAAGCAGGCUCACGCUUGAAUACAUUAGCAUGGAAUAAUGAAAUAGGACAUCCGAUUCUAUUUUGUUGGUUUCUAGGAUCGAUGUAAUGAUUAAUAGGGAUAGUUGGGGGCAUUAGUAUUCAAUUGUCAGAGGUGAAAUUCUUGGAUUUAUUGAAGACUAACUACUGCGAAAGCAUUUGCCAAGGAUGUUUUCAUUAAUCAAGAACGAAAGUUAGGGGAUCGAAGACGAUCAGAUACCGUCGUAGUCUUAAUCAUAAACUAUGCCGACUAGGGAUCGGAUGAUGUUAAUUUUUUAAUGACUCAUUCGGCGCCUUACGGGAAACCAAAGUGU
rnacentral:rRNA from 1 species